rnacentral:lncRNA from 1 species
GGGGGUGACUGGGUGACAGGCACUGAGGGGGGCACUUGACGGGAUGAGCACUGGGUGUUAUUCUGUAUGUUGGCAAAUUGAACACCAAUAAAAAAUAAAUUUAUUAUUUAAAACAAAAACUACAGCUACUUAUGAUAAAAAUUAAAUAGUAACUCCAGUGAUCCUGAAAAUGAAGAAUUAGAGAAGACUUAAAAAAAUAAAAUAAAAAAGAGGAAGUCCCGCAUUGCUUCAGGUGAUGCACCUCGGCCUGUUCCCGGAACCUCGGGUCCCAGAACUACUCCUUCCUCUCUCAGGUCUGAGGCUGGUGCAGGCCCGGCGGAGGGGACCGGGGCGCUGGCGGGAGCCCGGGAGCCAGGAGCGCAUGCGCCGCGAGUGGGCGGUUCCCUUGUCCCCCGCGGCUCCUUCAGCGCCUGCGCCGCCCGCACCGCAGGCUGCCGUCCUCUGGCGCAGAGUUCAGAUCACUGUUGAGUCCAGGUUCAGCAAAAACAGCCAGGCCAACAAGUUAGAAGCACUCCCAGCUGCUUGAGCUUGCACAUUGAAUUCAGUCACUGGUUAAUGCAUGAUUUGUGCGGCCCCACAGAAACUAUUCUGCCUUAGAUUCUGCGCCAGGCCACCCCCAGAAUGUCCAUUCCAGAAUGAGAAGUCUGUCAUCAAGCAUGCUGAGUAAAUAAAGGCUGGUUUAUCUGCUGUAACA